CUAUUGCAAGGUGGGUGUCGCAGUUUCACAGCCGGUACUUCCGAGGAUGCUCGGGGAAGGCAAAUCCUCUAAUAAAAUACCAAACUACUCGCUUGGUUACUAAUUUAAAGGAAUUUAUAAGUCGUUCAAGCGAGCAACUCGUAAAGAGAGAGGCUUAGCAUUGUCCUGUACGCAUUAGCGUGCCAAUAUCGUAUACUGACCUUUGGAUGAUGGAAUGAUUUUACCAUACGAUUCGAUACAUUCCUUAACACUUCGGAGAAAACAAACAUUCUGCUUGCGAUAGCGAAGAUUUUGCAAUUUUACGAUCAUGGCACAUUAGCGUUAGUGUCAGUAGGAAGUGUGCUGAUACCACCCAUCCCAGAUUAGCAGUGCAAAGUGGGCUCAUUAAAGGACGAGUUGAAAGUCAUGUUCCUAGGAAAUAUUUGAAUUGCGAAUUCUUACAAGUCAAACUGACGAGUUUUGACAAUGAAGAAUGCCCUCCCCUUGGUUGUUGGUAUACUGUUUUUAUUGAUAAAUAAAAGUACCAUGUCUCUCUGUACAUACAACUACGAUUUUCGAUAUACAGGAAUGUUUAGAUAAUUAAUCUUUUAAGAGAAAUUCUUUUAGUAAUGCAAAUUUCUAUGAUUGUAUAAUAUGCUUGAAACUGUGAUUUGUCUGGGGUUUUCUUUUUUGUUAUAUUUUUAUUAUGUACAACGACUCUUGUUCACCCAGGUCGAAGAGCUAAGGGUCGCUCAUUUCUAUAUUUCUUUCAAGUUUCCUUUUUUUGCUUAAUACAUUAUCAUUUGAUUGUUGCGAUUGAUUGUUACAAUCGAUCGCUCGCACCGAUAAUCUCAAUUAAGCUCAGCGUGUUGACUUACUUUAUCUAACCUUUAAAAUAGGUCAUCGCUACAAAAAUUAGUAAACGAAAGAAUAAAGAAAAUACAAAUCCUUCAAUUGAUUUCUCGUUUUACUCCCUUUUUACUCGGCAAUGUAAUAAUAAAUUAAUAAUAUACAUUACAUUAUUUUUAUUUA